UGACCAGGUCCCUCUGUGUUGGUUGCU
rnacentral:piRNA from 1 species